rnacentral:lncRNA from 1 species
UCCCCAUGGACAGGAAGCCUGAGGUACAUCAGCACUCCUCUAUUGCUCGACCUCUUUCCAUCGCAGCCCUUCUCAUCUGAGCAUUUUCUCCCGCAGCUGCUGAGCUCCAUCUCUACAGCCGAGCUGAGCGAGUUCCUGAACGCGCCUCAGACGCUCGGAGAUGGGUCGGGACUCUGCCAUCUGCUCAGUCAGUACAACCAGACCACACGCUAUCUGGAGACGGAGCCGCUGGGGUCCGUGGGUUUGGCCCGGCAGGUGUUGUCCUGCGUCUGGCCUGGGGUUCUGAAGCUGGAGAUCCAGUCUGAGGUGGAUCAGUGGUUCGAGCAUCGACUCGUGCGAUACCUGCCUCUGCUCAGCUUACAGCUCAUCAGUCCAGCACAGCUCAGCAGCGCCGCCUGUCUGCCCUACAGGAAACUUGUUUCAGUUCUCGGAAACAACUACAACUUCUCCAGAACUGACUUCACCCCAGAGGAUGUUUACAGCUCCAUGAAGGUGUAUCUCUCAAAUGGUGGCUCACCGCGCUGCUAUAACGCCUCCGAUCCUCAGCUAAACUCCACAAACUGGCUUGUGAGCUACAUUGGCAUCUUCAUCAGAUUCGUCAAUCUGUCUGACCUCAACUCCUUCGUUUCGUCUGAUCAGGUAACAAGCGUGCUACGCCUGUCCCCUGAUGGAGUUUAUGUUCCUUGCCACUUUUACUUUUGGCUUGAUUAG